rnacentral:misc_RNA from 1 species
UUUCCGUAGGUGAACCUGCGGAAGGAUCAUUAUUGAAUAACCGAGGUGCGAGGGCUGUCGCUGACCCGAAAGGUCGUGCACGCCCGAGUGCCCUCACACACAUCCAUCUCACCCCUAUGUGCACCACCGCGUGGGUCCCCCUUUGGCUUGUUCGGAGGGGGGCUUACGCUUUCACACAAACUUUGUAUGCAGUGUAGAAUGUAUUUUUUGUUUUUGCGAUCACGCAAUCAAUACAACUUUCAACAACGGAUCUCUUGGUUCUC